GGGGGCCAUUUAGGACUUUGCACAUGGGAUGAAAACAUCUGGUUCAAAUAACACACACACACACACACACACACACACACACCCCCCAACAGGAAUACAUUACAAUAGGAACAAUCAUUCUUAAACCGAAUGUACUCUCCCACUUUUCAAUCCGGGGAUCAUGAGAAAAAAUAGGACCCAAUCCCUGUCCUGGAGGAACGGGAGAGACCAUCUUAUCUACACUGCUGGCUUUAAAGUUAGGGAAUCUGAGACCGGGAGUCACUGGUCUAAGGUCUUACAGCAAGCGAGAGACAGCAGUGAGACAGGAAGCCGGGUGGCCCAACUUCCAGACUUCAGCCUUUCCCCAGCUCCACAUGCACGGAGGAGGAGGUAGAGGGCAAAGAAACCAGGCCCUUUAGAUUCUCGUGGACAGAGAAUCCCGUUUCGCCAAGAGAUCAGAGGGCUCAGGGUCCCCAGCCUGCCGAUGGCUUUUUUUCAUGUGCAGCAAGGCCAUCUGUGCAGCCAGUCUUGACGCUGCAGCCAAGAGCGAGACCCCAGAGUCUUGGAGUCUGCUGGGGACUCCUGGGAGAUGCGUUCCACGACCAGCCAGGGUGUGCACAGAAUUAGACCUUUACGAGAAGCACAGUUUUGUCUUCAGUUUCCUCUCCCCCCACCCGGAAUGGCCUGAGCCGAAGCCAGCUCCCUCCGAGAAGUCAUUACCACCUGACUUGCGUUUGAUAUUUAGACACCUUGGUCACAACAUCUUGUGUUCUCUCGGGAUGCUGAUUUCUAACUGCUCUUUGGCCUUUCCUGCAUUGGUCCUCCUCAGGCAGGGGAUCCCUGCUCUUCUAUAUUAGUGAGAAAACCAAGGCUCAGAGAAACUAUGGAUUUUCUAAGGAUGCUGGCUCCCCAUCCCCUGUCCACCAUGAGUCAAAGCAAUGUGAGUCCCUCACCAGAUGCAACUGCCCAGUCUUGGACUUUCCAGCGACCAGAAUCAUGAGCCAAAUAAACCUCUUUUCUUUAUGAAUUA